rnacentral:lncRNA from 1 species
GUUACUGUAGAUUCCAGGGGCGUAGCUUAAGUUCAAAGAAGUCAAGUUGGUGCAGAUUGGGUAUAUAGAAGGCAGACUGCGUCCAUUGACAUCUAGAAAUCCCGACAAGCUUCUAAUUGAUGUACACAUGCGCAAAACAUUCUUCAAUUUGUUGCAACUCUCUGAAUCUGGAUCGUGAACAAAAGAGCCUGUUCCUAGAUCAUUCAAUUGAGGUGCUCGCGCCAAUAUUUUGUGAAGAGCAUCUAGAGGUACUGUAUGAUUAAGUCUUAGACUUGUAAGGUUAGGGCAUCUUCCGACCAAUCUUUCAAGAGCCGACACAUUAACUUCACCUUUGAGGCAAGCAAAAUUCAAAGAAACGAGAGAGGUGCAGGUAUCGGGAAAACAGCUCAACCACUGACCCUUGCGAUCAUCAACUUCAUUCUCCUGCAAGUCAAGCUCCCUCAGAAACCUGCAUCAUAAUAAUGGCCAACCAUUAAUGGAACAGCACAAACUCGAACAACUCUCCAAGAGACAAAAACAGCUUUUAACAUUGAGAACCAUUUCACUCAUCAACCUACUCCAUCUCCAAUCAACAAAUGAGAAUCACUCACAUAUACUUCAAAACUUACAGCAAGCAAACAUAAAAGCUAUGGGAAAAAAACAAUGUGAUUGGUUGAGAAAGGUAGCGCAUGAGCUACUAAUUACCCGAGAUCGUUAGACCAAAUCCACAGCUAUUUAGCGGCCUUGUUUCUUAUUUAUGAUGAUUUAAACUUAAAAAUCCAUCAUAUCUGAUAAUCCAGGAAUUAUGUGAGUUAUAUGCAAAAGCAGAAAUAAAAAAUGAGAGUUCAAUAAAAGACCAAAACAAACCAUAAAAAGGAGGAAGACAAGAUAUAAAUGUUCAUAUAAAAGCUUUUCUAGAAUUACAAAACCUUGUACACUUUGCCCCGAAUUUAGCAAACUAUAAAUAGGUAGCAAUCGGUUAGCAAAGCUCAAUAAAACCAACAGAGUUCAACCAGGUUUAAAAAUACAGAAUAAUUGCUUGAUCCUCCUACAGCAAAUAUAUGACAGCACAAAGGCAAAAAGACAAAAUCCAAAGUAUGUAUACCUGCAACCGGAAGCAAUGGCAGCAAGGCCAUCAGUGGUGAAGCCUUCACAGCUGACCAAAACCAAAGACCUGAAAGUGGGAAAAGACUUGGCAAGCAGCUCAAGGCUCUCAUCGGUCACCACCAUCCGCUUUAACCUCAAUUCCUCUAGAUUAAUACCACUCUUGGCCAUGGCGUCAAUCCAAGGGUACACAUGCCCUCCCCAAUCAUGGGGCACCAAAUUGAAAUCGGCAAAAUGGGGCUUCCCUUUCAAAGUUAAAGAGCGAAGCCUCGGAAACCUAGCAAUCAAACGCUCAGGGCUGAUGGAGUAGCAGUUGCCGAUGAAAACCUUGUCUCGGCUGAAUCUUUCGACACUGUACCAGGACUUGCACACUAAAGACACUGCGUUGCGGUCCCGAUGCGAAGUGAUGAAAUCGAAGACGUGCUCCAAUACUUCCUCCGGGAUGUAAUUCAUCACACGAUGAACGAACAAUUAACUUAGGUGGAUCUGAGAUAAAACAGAUCUGAAGAUAAGAAGCUGAAAACGGAAAGUAGCGUUUGAAUAAAUAUGAGAGUAGAUCUGAUGAGAGAAACAUAUAAAAGAAGAAAACUUCAAGUAUAUUUAUCAAUCGGAGAGAAGAAUGGGGUGUUAUUGGAUAAUAAAUGAAAGGUAAUUCUGAGCGAGCUCAGUCAUUCCAAAAUCAAUCGAAAGGUUGAUGAUGAUCCUCCCCUCUCUCUCUCUCUCUCUCUCUCUCUCUCUCUCUCUCUGUCUCUCACUCUUCCUCCCUCCUGUCAAAGCUGAAUCUGCUCUUAAACAUACACACAACUCUCAGUUCAGGUUUCUCACUCUUCCUCCCUCCUGUCAAAGCUGAAUCUGCUCUUAAACAUACACACAACUCUCAGUUCAGGUUUCAGAGAGAGAGAGAGAGAGAGAGAGAGAGAGAGGGUUUACUUGCAGCAAUAUAAUAAAGCUAACUAACUAGGCAUAAUAAUAGUUGAAGAAGGAAGGUUGACUAGGGUUAAUAAUAAGAAUUGUAAUCAGAGUGGGGUUAGCAAGAUCUAACGGUGGGUGUGUGGGGGCUGAAGGGAGAGGGAAUCUUGACCGUCGUCGUAAGAUGCAUCUCUUAUUUCGGAAGUCGAAUUCAGCAUAUAUAUGCUGAUGAUGAUGAUGAUGAUAA